GUGCCAGCAGCCGCGGUAAGACGUAGGGGGCCAGCGUUGCUCGGAAUUACUGGGCGUAAAGGGUUCGUAGGCGGUGUGGCAAGUCGGGAGUGAAAUCUCUGGGCUUAACUCAGAGGCUGCUUCCGAAACUGCCACGCUCGAGUGCGGGAGAGGCCAGUGGAAUUGCAGGUGUAACGGUGAAAUGCGUAGAUAUCAGGAGGAACACCGGUGGCGAAGGCGGCUAUCUGGACAGAGUCUGACGCUGAGGCGCGAAAGCUAGGGGAGCAAACAGGAUUAGAUACCCUGGUAGUCCUAGCCCUAAACGAUGGAUACUUGCUGUGACUGGGAUUGAAUCCAGUCGUGGCGAAGCUAACGCAUUAAGUAUCCCGCCUGGGGAGUACGGUCGCAAGGCUGAA
rnacentral:rRNA from 1 species